rnacentral:rRNA from 1 species
GACUGUACAAAGGUAGCAUAAUCAUUUGUCUUUUAAUUGAAGUCUGGAAUGAAUGGUUUGAUGAAAAAUUUACUUUCUUUAUUUUAAAAAAAAAAAUUAAUUUUUUAAUUAAAAAGUUAAAAUUAUAAUAUAGGACGAGAAGACCCUAUAGAACUUUAUUUUGAUAAAAAAAUAGAAUUUUGAUAAUGAAUUUUUGUUUUUUUUAAAAAAUUUUGUUGGGGUGAUAGAAAAAAUUUUAUAACUUUUUUUUAUGUUAUCAUUAAUUUAUGAUUUUUUUGAUCCUUUAUUAUGGAUAAUAAGACUAAGUUACCUUAGGGAUAACAGCGUUAUUAUUUUAGAGAGUUCAUAUCGAUAAAAUAGUUUGCGACCUCGAUGUUGGAUUAAAAUAAGUUUCAGGAGUAGAAUAUUGAAUGCCUGGGUCUGUCGAU